rnacentral:rRNA from 1 species
UUCCGGUUGAUCCUGCCGGAAGUCACUGCUAUUGGGGUCCGACUAAGCCAUGCGAGUCAAUAGUUCUUCGUGAACUAGGCGGACGGCUCAGUAACACGUGGGUAAUCUACCCUCAGGACAGGGAUAACCCCGGGAAACUGGGGAUAAUACCUGAUAGGUGGAGAGGUNAAAAAUGAUCCUCCGCCCAAAGCUCCGGCGCCUGAGGAUGAGCCUGCGGCCGACUAGGUUGUUGGCGGUGUAACGGACCACCAAGCCUGAGAUCGGUACGGGCACUGAGAGGUGGAGCCCGGAGAUGGGGGCUGAGUNACGNCCCCAGGCCCUACGGGGCGCAGCAGGCGCGAAACCUCCGCAAUGCGCGAAAGCGCGACGGGGGGACCCCAAGUGUCAUGCCUUCGGGUAUGACUUUUGCAGAGUGUAAGUAGCUAAACGAAUAAGGGCUGGGUAAGACCGGUGCCAGACCGCCGCGGUAACACCGGGCAGCCCGAGUGGUGACCGCUUUUAUUGGGCCUAAAGCGUCC